rnacentral:tRNA from 1 species
GGGUCGGUAGUUCAGAGGUAGAACACUUCGUUGUGGUUUCGAUCUCCAAUCUUCCAACGCCGAAGAGACCCGUGUUCGAUUCACGGCCGGCCCA